rnacentral:rRNA from 1 species
GACGAACGCUGGCGGCGUGCCUAAUACAUGCAAGUUGAGCGAUGAAGCUUGGUGCUUGCCCCAAUUUGAAGAGCAGCGAACGGGUGAGUAACGCGUGGGGAAUCUGCCUUUGAGCGGGGGACAACAUUUGGAAACGAAUGCUAAUACCGCAUAACAACUUUAAACAUAAGUUUUAAGUUUGAAAGAUGCAAUUGCAUCACUCAAAGAUGAUCCCGCGUUGUAUUAGCUAGUUGGUGAGGUAAAGGCUCACCAAGGCGAUGAUACAUAGCCGACCUGAGAGGGUGAUCGGCCACAUUGGGACUGAGACACGGCCCAAACUCCUACGGGAGGCAGCAGUAGGGAAACUUCGGCAAUGGACGAAAGUCUGACCGAGCAACGCCGCGUGAGUGAAGAAGGUUUUCGGAUCGUAAAACUCUGUUGGUAGAGAAGAACGUUGGUGAGAGUGGAAAGCUCAUCAAGUGACGGGAACUACCCAGAAAGGGACGGCUAACUACGG